GAUAAGUCCAUCUUUAAGUUUAGGGGCUUAUGAUAAAAUUCAGAAUGAAAUUUGAGAGAUCUAGAAACAAUCACAAGUAAACCGUCUUGCUCUCUGUGGCCCGUUGGUGCUGAACCAAAGCCUUGUUUUCUUUUUGCUGAUUUAAGAAAGCUUUUUCCAAUCCCUGCUACUUGUUUCUGCUCCAGCUCCUGGUCCAAGGCAUCACUUUUCGGUUAGACUUUAAGAGACCCAUGGGCCUACCAGUCCUCUUCCUCCUCGGCUGCCUCUCCUACUUCUCCCUCAUGGAAAGAAAAACAUCUCUUUCCUUCUAGGCAGCUCAGCAGAGGAGGAAAAAAACAAAAACAACAAACCACUGGGUCCUGACCAUAAUUUAAGUCCUUCCUGGCAGCAUCCUUCUUAUCAGGAAAAAAAAAAAAUGAACCUCUCUUCAAUAACCCAUUUCUCUGGUUUUGUAGAAGCUUUGUGACUUUAAGACCAGAGCACUUUUUACAGAGCAGCGAAGAAAUCCACUGGGAGCAGCAGGAACAAGCCAUCUGGUAGAGGCUGCAUGGUGCUGAAAUCCCAUUAGCAGUCCACCACUCCCAUCGUCAUGGCUCUCGCCUUCCCCAGGUCAUCCCCGGGGAAUGGGAACAAUGCCCCUCGGACCUGUGGAGGAAACUCAAUCAACCAACUCAGGUGUGCAAUGAAGCGUUUGAAGAGCCAUUGAAGGUUCCAGGUGCCCAUAUGCUCCAGGUUCAAGGUAAAGUGAAGAGACUGAGGAAGAAACCACAACACAUGUAUUCCUUCCCCAGUUCCAGGAGGGCCCCAGU
rnacentral:lncRNA from 1 species